UUGUUGUUUACUGUUAUCAUGGCCCAGUCCUAACUGGAUCCAACCGGUUUUUCCUCCUAUUGGCCACUCCAAGGACAAUGUCACCUCAGGCUGUUUUCCACCCUUGCUAGGACUGUACCAUAUUUUCCCGCCACUAAAGACAGGAAGGGACUGAGCUCCCAGCCGAGUGGCGCAGUCCAUCCCAGUGACUGUGUGCGUGGCUCAGGCCUGCCCAGCACGUUCUGCCCGAAGUGACGAGCGAGGGAAGGAGAUUCCAUCGAACCCGCUCCAGCUCCUGGACUCGAGUGGACGUGACAGGAGGUGAAGAUGGCUCCAUCCGGGUUGAAGGCAGUGGUGCGUGAGAAGAUCUUCAGCGUUGUCUUUCGCAGCGUGAAGAAGGAAGGAGAAUGGAAGGUGCUGAUCAUGGACCACCCGAGCACGCGCAUCCUCUCGUCGUGCUGCAAGAUGUCCGACAUCGUGGACGAAGGCAUCACACCUGUGGAAGAUAUUGAUAAGUGCCGGGAGCCAAUCCCCAGCCUGGAGGCCAUCUACCUGCUCAGCCCUGUGGAGAAGCUGGUGUCCAGCCCAAACUCAGACGCAGCUCGUCUCAUUCUGCCUUCUUCUGUUCACUUUUUUGGUUUGAACUUGGUACAGGGCUCUUCUUCCUCUACUAUAAUCCACCAUUACAGUGCACUGUAAAACAGCCACAGCGUCCCACCCCAGAGGUGGCUACCCUUCAGCAGUCAACGAGGCACCUCGCAGAUAUCUAGCUAGAAGCUGCUGAAAGCUGAAUUCACUUUGGGCCAAUGAUGCACCAGCACUGGGGCUCCAGUACUAUGAGCUGAAAUCACUAAAAGAGCUGAACUUACUGAGCUGAGUGCUGUGUUAACUAGUGGGG